GAUGAAGAACGCAGCAAAAUGCGAUAAGUAAUGUGAAUUGCAGAAUUCAGUGAAUCAUCGAAUCUUUGAACGCACAUUGCGCCCGCCAGUAUUCUGGCGGGCAUGCCUGUUCGAGCGUCAUUUCAACCCUCAAGCACAGCUUGGUGUUGGGACUCGCGUUAAUUCGCGUUCCCCAAAUUGAUUGGCGGUCACGUCGAGCUUCCAUAGCGUAGUAGUAAAACCCUCGUUACUGGUAAUCGUCGCGGCCACGCCGUUAAACCCCAUCUUCUGAAUGUUGACCUCGGAUCAGGUAGGAAUACCCGCUGAAUUUAAGCAUAUCAAUAAGCGGAGGA
rnacentral:misc_RNA from 1 species